AAGAUUAAGCCAUGCAUGUCUAGUAUAACAUUUGUACUGUGAACUGCGGACGGCUCAUUAAUCAGUUAUAGUUAUUUGAUAGUAACUACUACUUGGAUAACCGUGGUAAUUCUAGAGCUAAUACAUGCACUGAAUCCCGACUUCUGGAAGGGAUGUAUUUAUUAGAUAAACCCAACCCGGGCAACCGGUUCUUUGGUGAUUCAUGAUAACUUUUCGAAUCGCAU
rnacentral:rRNA from 1 species